GCCGCUGUCGGCUGGGCCCGCCCGGAGAGGCCGAGACAAAGGCGCCGCGGCUCCGCGAGGGGACCCGCCGGCCCUCCCCGGGCCGCGGCCAGCUCCUCCCUCCAGGCCGCCCGCUUACCUGUGGGCGGAGAGCGCGCCGCGGACCCCGGCCCCGUCUAACGCGCCCGGUCGCCAGCUGCCGCCGCCGCCACCGCCACCGCCACCGUCACCGCCGCCACCGCGGGCCGCGCCUCCACCUCUCCCGGCACCGAGACCGACGGGACACCCUGGGCCGCCGCCCUCGAGAGCGCGCCCGCCCGGCAGCCCGGCUUCCCUGCCGCCGCCGCCGCCGCCCCGCGCGCUCUCGAGCUCGCCGCGCGCGCCCGCUAAGUACCACACACUGCGGCGGCCGCCAUGAGCGGGAGCGCGCACCGAACCCGGCUGGGCGGGGCUUCCCACGGCCACGCACGCGCAGAAGCGGCUGGCGGCUGCUGCCCGCACUCGGUGGCGGUUGGCGUCGAGACGCUUCGGUUACCGGAGCAGCGUCCCGAGCAUCCCCACGAGGCGGCUGCGCUGUCUCGGGCCGUUACUGUGGGAUUGACUGGGUUCGCGCCGUCCUCUCUCCGGGUCCGCGGUCUGUAGCGGCCUCCACGACCCCACUCCUGGAGGAGAAGAGGGCCGCGCCUCCCGGUAGGCUCGUUGAAAGCUGGCCAGUAAGAAGCACGCCUUUAAGUCCACUUUCCCACUCAUCUGGGAAGCUGAUGUUGGGGACUGUCCACCCUGCUGCUUUAGGUUAAAAAACGGAGCCGUGCACUAGGCAAGCAGAAGCAGGAUCUUCACAAGUUUGGGGCCAGUCUGGUUUAUACAGAGUUUUCUGGGACUUCCCGGGGAGACCUUUUAUCCAAAAUAAAUGAAGACCUCAUCUCAAGGGUUACGGGUGCUUUCGUGAGGAGUGGUUGCCUGGGCUGAGACUCAGUCCCCAGUUGCGAGUGAAGGGGUAGAAACCUUUAGAUUUGAUUCUGGGGUGUGGGAUUGUGUGGAGGUCAGAGGACGAGUUGCGAGUGCUGGGGGUGGAGCGCAAGUGGCCAGCCUUGGUGGCAGGGCCUCUGCUGAGCCAUCUCGCAGAGUCCCCGUUAGUCUUUCCAUGGAUGCCUCUGUCUGACUAGGUUAACCGAAUGUAAGGCGUUUACAAAUCCUGAGCAGAUUUUCAGGGAAGAACUGUAGAAAUGCAAUGCUGUGAGAAAAGUACUUUUUCUAUGGGGUUUCAAGAAAGGAAGAAAAGUCUCCUCUCAGCCUUCCAUCAGCACAAACUCCGCCCUCUUCCAGAACUCAAAUUUGUUCUCAAUGAAUGUUCAGCUUUCCUCAAUGUAUUUGUAAUCUGUG